rnacentral:sRNA from 1 species
AAAAAUUGUCUAUCCCAUAUCGUUUUCCUUUUUUCAGAAGGUACAUAUCCCUAUUCCAAUUAAACAUACAAAUUAAUUUUUAUGGUUAUAUAUAGAUUCUGACGCCAGCUAAAUCCAUGAUGAGUCAAACUCAACUUAAUU